rnacentral:rRNA from 1 species
UACGUAGGGGGCAAGCGUUGUCCGGAUUUAUUGGGCGUAAAGAGCUCGUAGGCGGUUCCGUAAGUCGUGAAGUCAAAUCUCUGGGCUCAACCCAGAGUCUGCUUCCGAAACUGCUGUGCUUGAGUGUGGGAGAGGCGCGUGGAAUUGCAGGUGUAGCGGUGAAAUGCGUAGAUAUCUGCAGGAACACCCGUGGCGAAAGCGGCGCGCUGGACCACUACUGACGCUGAGGAACGAAAGCUAGGGGAGCAAACAGG